GCGAUUUAUCGUCUGUUUUACGAUCUUAGAGUUCACAUUCCGCAGAACUAGAUAGACGAAAAAACGCAAGCGAAAAGAUAAAAUUUGAUAAUAUUAAGGAACAAAUAAUGCGACAGAUUAUUGGAAACGAACAGCUGUGACGAUAUUACGUUCAUAUUUGUAAAUUCGUGAAAUAGAAUUCAAGGUUGUUAGACUGAGCAAAAGUAUGAAAUAUUAGUACCGCAACUUUACAAUUACAUUAAUUUACGCAAAUACACCGCUUACAAGUACCUGAACACGCCUCUACCAUAUUCAAAACAAUGAAUUUGCAAAAGUGGCUACGUAAUACUGCAACAAUAGAUUACGACAUGCAAAGUCUUUAUCUUAACGAAAUCGACCUUGUGCAAGAAUUAGCGCGAAAGAACGAACAACCUGGCAUAUUUCAUGCGGACACGAGCAUCUGCAUGAAAUACUGUAAAAUUCCAUCAAAGUAUAUAUCGUUUCAGCAUUCGGUUACAUCCAGAGUAACGGAAAAUAUCAAGAACGUGAUUAAUAAGCUAGCGUGCACGUUUCGGUGAAGAGUCUGGCACCGGGUCAAGUAUACACGCGAGGCCGUUGAGAGAAAGGGAGAAAGAGGGAAGAAGAUUCCGCGAUGCAAAGUCAUAGGUUAAGCAUUGUGGUGUGUACACACGGUAGAAACACAACUACCACGAGCGCAAGGGUGAAAGUUUACCCUGACAGUCGAUUCUCUCUCGCACGUGGUCAUGCGAUUCACCAUAAGCGUCGAUAUAACUUUCCGAGGAUGCGCCUUCGGGCUAGUUUCUAUGCGGGAUGCAGCUGUUUCUACGCGUCCAGCUCAUUGAAUCGCUGCCCCGAUGCUUUCUAAAUAAAUAACAAACAUCGAAGGCAGAAUAACUUCGAAAACUAUGUAUUAUACAUAUACGAUUUUGUAAUUUUUUAUAGCUUGAAUAUAUUUAUAACUUAAACCUGUUGAUGGCCAGAUUAAUUCUAUAACACUGAACUGUUCUUCCUUUUUAUAAUAUCUAUUUUUAUAGUCUUGUAAUAAACGAAUUUGUAACUAUAAUAUACGAGAAAUCUUUAAUAGCUAAAAGUAUAGUUUAUUAGAUUUAGUAAAAACAUUUGGAAAAAGCGGAAGAUUAAUCUUAUUCUGUCAGUCUUGAUGAAAUCCAAUGUUACAUUCGGAUGAAUACACAUUUCGAAGUACAAACUAACAGGUUCUGACUCGGCUAGUAACUAAUUACUCACUUUGUAAUUAAUGGCUAAGGUCAUCUUUGUCUCACCAAAUACUAAUGCUACGUUUAAAAAUCUCACUCGAAAUAGAGAGGAUUUAGCUUAACAGCGUUUAUUGCGUAUUAUAUGUUAUGUUCUAUACUCUUAAACUUCUUACUGUUACAAGUAAACCGACGCUUUUAAGUAUAACAUCUAUACAAAUAAGAUAGUAUUUAUCGCUUAAAUUUUGUAUUUCUCAUUUAAAUCAUACGCGAGCCUAGUGUUAAUAUUAACUAUCUUUCAAAAUGCUCGAAGAACCGAUAGAUACGCUUAAACGAGUAAUAUGA
rnacentral:misc_RNA from 1 species